rnacentral:lncRNA from 1 species
CAUGCUCAGUGUAAAUUCUCCUGGAGCCUGUCAAGCUAUGUUUGAACUCGUUCCAGGAUAGUGGAUUUACUUUUUUUUCCCCACCAGGAAGAAUACUCGAUUAGACUGCAUUUUGCCUUGCUUUUCCUUCUCCCUUUCUCUCUCUUUCUUUCUUUCUUUCUUUCUUUCUUUCUUUCUUUCUUUCUUUCUUUCUUUCUUUCUUUCUUUCUUUCUUUUUCUUUCUCUCUCUCUCUCUCUUUCUUUCUUUCCUUUCUUUUCUUUCUUUCCUCUUUCUCUUUCCUUCUUUCUUUUUUUCUUCUUUCUUUCCUUCCUUCCUUCCAUCUUUCUUUUCUUUCUUUCCAUUUUUUUUUUCCUCCAGAAGAAUGGAAACAGUAUUCUUUUCCGAUCAGUUCAGUAAUACAAUGUCCUUCAGUGUCCAUAUGAGCAUUUCAGUGGAGAAGAAAAGAAACUUUGCUACCUGGGAACUGAAGACUACUUAGUGAAGAUCCCGGUGUUACACAUCCAAUCGUUCACCUCCUUCCAAGACUAUGACAUUCCAGGAAACCUUCACUGCUAAGAGGAACUAAGAUCUAGAGUAUCUCCUCGAGGAAGUACAACUGGUAAUUAAUAAGAAGUCCAGUGGCUCACACCUGCGAUCCCAGCACUUUGGGAGGCUGAGAUGGGCAGAUUGCUCGAGCCCAGGAAUUCAAGACCAACCUGGGCAACAUGGCAAAACCCCAUCUCUACAAAAAUACAAAAAUUAACCAGAUGUGAUGGUUCAUGCCUGUAGUCCCAGCUACUCUGGAGGCUGAUGUGGGAGGAUCGCUUGAGCCUAGGAAGUCAAGGCUGCAGUGAGUCAUGAUUGCUCCGCUCCACUGCACUCUGGCCUUGAUGAUAGAGUGAGAACCAGUCUCAAAAAAAAAAAGGUCAUUUUCUAAGCAUUUGUUGAUUCAAUACUGCCCACUAUGUACACUGACAAUUAGACAUAAUUUAAUUUCAGCUCAUGGUAUGAAUGGAGACAAAAUGAAAUCAUUUUAAUGCACAUUAAGGCAAUAUAGUGCCCUUAAAUAAAAAGUUGAAGUUCAUAAGGGACCAUCAUUAAGAUUUAACUUUGUAACAAAUAUUUUGUUUUUGUUUGUUUUAUUUUUAGAUUUGCAUAAUAAAACAUUCAUAUUC